GGGAUCGCCCUUCCUACGGGAGGCAGCAGUGGGGAAUCUUCCGCAAUGGGCGAAAGCCUGACGGAGCAACGCCGCGUGAGCGAAGACGGCCUUCUGGUUGUAAAGCUCUGUUAUACGGGACGAAUGGCUAGUGUGCCAAUACCACAUUAGAAUGACGGUACCGUAAGAGAAAGCCACGGCUAACUACGUGCCAGCAGCCGCGGUAAUAAGGGCGAUCC
rnacentral:rRNA from 1 species